rnacentral:rRNA from 1 species
AGCGUCAGCGGCGCUGGCUCGGCCGAGUGAGCGAUGUUGCGGACUACGGUAUCGCGACACGUUAUCAUUCAUGCCUUGUCCGGUGUCGUCGUCGUGCACUUCUCCUCUAGUAGAACGUCGCGACCCGUUGGGUGCCGGUCUACGGUCCGAGCGGUAGACUGUCGCGUCGCUUCGGCGCACGCGUCAGACCCUCGGUCGCCCGGCCGGCUGCCCGGCGGUCGAACUUAUAAGGUAUCUUGCCGCAAUUAUCGAACUGCGUCGGGCCCGUCGCAAGCGCGGUCAGUGUCUC